rnacentral:rRNA from 1 species
UACGUAGGGACCAAGCGUUGUUCGGAUUUACUGGGCGUAAAGGGCGCGUAGGCGGCGCGGUAAGUCACUUGUGAAAUCUCUGAGCUUAACUCAGAACGGCCAAGUGAUACUGCAGUGCUAGAGUGUGGAAGGGGCAAUCAGAAUUCUUGGUGUAGCGGUGAAAUGCGUAGAUAUCAAGAGGAACACCUGAGGUGAAGACGGGUUGCUGGGCCAACACUGACGCUGAGGCGCGAAAGCCAGGGGAGCAAACGGG